rnacentral:rRNA from 1 species
UACGUAGGGUGCGAGCGUUGUCCGGAAUUAUUGGGCGUAAAGAGCUCGUAGGCGGUCUGUCGCGUCGGUCGUGAAAACUUGGGGCUUAACCCUGAGCUUGCGGUCGAUACGGGCAUGACUGGAGUUCGGUAGGGGAGACUGGAAUUCCUGGUGUAGCGGUGAAAUGCGCAGAUAUCAGGUGGAACACCGGUGGCGAAGGCGGUGGUCUGGGCCGGAACUGACGCUGAUGAGCGAAAGCGUGGGUAGCGAACAGG